rnacentral:misc_RNA from 1 species
AACGCACAUUGCGCCCCAUGGUAUUCCGUGGGGCAUGCCUGUUCGAGCGUCAUUUCAACCCUCAAGCUUUGCUUGGUAUCGGGCUACACUAGCAAUAGUGUGCCUUAGAAUUAGUGGCGGUGCCAUCUGGCUCUAAGUGUAGUAAUAUUUCUCGCUAUAGAUUUCUGAUGAUAUCUUGCCAAAAUUAUACAUUUUAUGUUUGACCUCGGAUCAGGUAGGGAUACCCGCUGAACUUAA